UGAACGCUAGCGGCAGGCUUAACACAUGCAAGUCGAGGGGCAGCGGGGAGUAGCAAUACUCUGCCGGCGACCGGCGAAAGGGUGCGUAACGCGUGAGCGACAUACCCGUGACUGGGGCAUAACCGAUGGAAACGUUGACUAAUUCCCCAUAACACAUCGUGCUGCAUGGCAUGGUGUUGAAAAUUUCGAUGGUCACGGAUUGGCUCGCGUCUGAUUAGCUAGUUGGUGGGGUAACGGCUCACCAAGGCGACGAUCAGUAGGGGUUCUGAGAGGAAGGUCCCCCACAAUGGAACUGAGACACGGUCCAUACUCCUACGGGAGGCAGCAGUGAGGAAUAUUGGUCAAUGGGCGGAAGCCUGAACCAGCCAUGCCGCGUGCAGGAUGACGGCCCUAUGGGUUGUAAACUGCUUUUGCUGUGGAGCAAUAAGGGUCACGCGCUGACCCGAUGAGAGUACACAGCGAAUAAGCAUCGGCUAACUCCGUG
rnacentral:rRNA from 1 species